AGAGUUUGAUCCUGGCUCAGGAUGAACGCUGGCGGCGUGCUUAACACAUGCAAGUCGAACGAAGCACUUUAUUUGAUUUCUUCGGAAUGAAGAUUUUGUGACUGAGUGGCGGACGGGUGAGUAACGCGUGGGUAACCUGCCUCAUACAGGGGGAUAACAGUUGGAAACGACUGCUAAUACCGCAUAAGCGCACAGGGUCGCAUGACCUGGUGUGAAAAACUCCGGUGGUAUGAGAUGGACCCGCGUCUGAUUAGCCAGUUGGUGGGGUAACGGCCUACCAAAGCGACGAUCAGUAGCCGACCUGAGAGGGUGACCGGCCACAUUGGGACUGAGACACGGCCCAAACUCCUACGGGAGGCAGCAGUGGGGAAUAUUGCACAAUGGGGGAAACCCUGAUGCAGCGACGCCGCGUGAGCGAAGAAGUAUUUCGGUAUGUAAAGCUCUAUCAGCAGGGAAGAAGAAAUGACGGUACCUGACUAAGAAGCACCGGCUAAAUACGUGCCAGCAGCCGCGGUAAUACGUAUGGUGCAAGCGUUAUCCGGAUUUACUGGGUGUAAAGGGAGCGCAGGCGGUACGGCAAGUCUGAUGUGAAAGCCCGGGGCUCAACCCCGGUACUGCAUUGGAAACUGUCGGACUAGAGUGUCGGAGGGGUAAGUGGAAUUCCUAGUGUAGCGGUGAAAUGCGUAGAUAUUAGGAGGAACACCAGUGGCGAAGGCGGCUUACUGGACGAUUACUGACGCUGAGGCUCGAAAGCGUGGGGAGCAAACAGGAUUAGAUACCCUGGUAGUCCACGCCGUAAACGA
rnacentral:rRNA from 1 species